GAGCGUUUCUGUGUUCUGAUCAGUCCAGUCCUUUGGAUAAGGCAUCACGGAGGGUGAGAAUCCCGUUCGGUUGAUCAGAUUCGCUUACGAUACGCUUUCAAAGAGUCAAGUUGUUUGGGAUUGCAGCUUAAAAUGGGAGGUAAAUUUCUCCUAAGGCUAAAUAACGGCGAGAGACCGAUAGCGAACAAGUACCGUGAGGGAAAGAUGAAAAGAACUUUGAAAAGAGAGUUAAAUAGUACGUGAAAUUGUUGAAAGGGAAACGAUUGAAGCCAGUCGUACCUGCGGGUAAUCAGCCUUUUGGGCAUGAUUCUGUGGAGCGUGAGGAGUUAAACGCCUUCAUGCCUGCAUAUUCGUGUACUUUGGGUGUACUUGCCUGUGUGGUUAGUUAACAUCAAUUUUGGUUAUCAUAAAAUGGCCGGAGGAAUGUAGCUUCGAUUUCGAUUGAAGUGUUAUAGCCUUCGGCAGAUGUGAUGAUCGGGAUUGAGGAUUGCAACGGAUACCCUUCGGGGCUACCUGUCUGGUCUCUGAUCGUUGCUCUGGUGCCGAAAGCGUGC
rnacentral:rRNA from 1 species